rnacentral:misc_RNA from 1 species
UCCGGUUUGGCACCGGCGGUCUCCCGUGAGUCCCCGGCAUUACCCGCUGGCUGCCCUUGCGGGCUCAUUACCGUUUCCGGUUCUUAAUACCAGCAUGUCAAACCUGGGUAAGGUUCUUCGCGUUGCGUCGAAUUAAACCACAUGCACCACCGCUUGUGCGGGCCCCCGUCAAUUCCUUUGAGUUUCAACCUUGCGGCCGUACUCCCCAGGCGGGGAACUUACUCCGUUAGGUGCGGCACCGGCGGUAACCCGCCGACACUUAGUUCCCAUCGUUUAGGGCGUGGACUAC